AGUCGAACGGCAGCGCGGGGCAACCUGGCGGCGAGUGGCGAACGGGUGAGUAAUAUAUCGGAACGUACCCAAGAGUGGGGGAUAACGUAGCGAAAGUUACGCUAAUACCGCAUACGAUCCAAGGAUGAAAGCAGGGGACCGCAAGGCCUUGUGCUCCUGGAGCGGCCGAUAUCUGAUUAGCUAGUUGGUAGGGUAAAGGCCUACCAAGGCUUCGAUCAGUAGCUGGUCUGAGAGGACGACCAGCCACACUGGAACUGAGACACGGUCCAGACUCCUACGGGAGGCAGCAGUGGGGAAUUUUGGACAAUGGGCGCAAGCCUGAUCCAGCAAUGCCGCGUGAGUGAAGAAGGCCUUCGGGUUGUAAAGCUCUUUUGUCAGGGAAGAAACGGUGGGGGCUAAUAUCCUUCGCUAAUGACGGUACCUGAAGAAUAAGCACCGGCUAACUACGUGCCAGCAGCCGCGGUAAUACGUAGGGUGCAAGCGUUAAUCGGAAUUACUGGGCGUAAAGCGUGCGCAGGCGGUUUUGUAAGUCUGUCGUGAAAGCCCCGGGCUCAACCUGGGAAUUGCGAUGGAGACUGCAAGGCUUGAAUCUGGCAGAGGGGGGUAGAAUUCCACGUGUAGCAGUGAAAUGCGUAGAGAUGUGGAGGAACACCGAUGGCGAAGGCAGCCCCCUGGGUCAAGAUUGACGCUCAUGCACGAAAGCGUGGGGAGCAAACAGGAUUAGAUACCCUGGUAGUCCACGCCCUAAACGAUGUCUACUAGUUGUCGGGUUUUAAUUAACUUGGUAACGCAGCUAACGCGUGAAGUAGACCGCCU
rnacentral:rRNA from 1 species